rnacentral:rRNA from 1 species
CUUAACCGGGCGUUAAGUUGCAGGGUAUAGACCCGAAACCCGGUGAUCUAGCCAUGGGCAGGUUGAAGGUUGGGUAACACUAACUGGAGGACCGAACCGACUAAUGUUGAAAAAUUAGCGGAUGACCUGUGGCUGGGGGUGAAAGGCCAAUCAAACCGGGAGAUAGCUGGUUCUCCCCGAAAGCUAUUUAGGUAGCGCCUCGUGAAUUCAUCUCCGGGGGUAGAGCACUGUUUCGGCUAGGGGGCCAUCCCGGCUUACCAACCCGAUGCAAACUGCGAAUACCGGAGAAUGUUAUCACGGGAGACACACGGCGGGUGCUAACGUCCGUCGUGAAGAGGGAAACAACCCAGACCGCCAGCUAAGGUCCCAAAGUCAUGGUUAAGUGGGAAACGAUGUGGGAAGGCCCAGACAGCCAGGAUGUUGGCUUAGAAGCAGCCAUCAUUUAAAGAAAGCGUAAUAGCUCACUGGUCGAGUCGGCCUGCGCGGAAGAUGUAACGGGGCUAAACCAUGCACCGAAGCUGCGGCAGCGACGCUUAUGCGUU